AUACUUACUUGGCAGGGGAGAUAGCAUGAUCACAAAGGUGGUUUUCCCAGGGCAAGGCUUAUCCAUUGCACUCUGGAUGUGCUGACCCCUGCGAUUUCCCCAAAUAUGGGAAACUUGACUGCAUAAUCUGUGGUAGUGGGGGACUGCGUUUGUGUUCUCCUCUG
rnacentral:snRNA from 1 species